rnacentral:misc_RNA from 1 species
UCCGGCUUGACGCCGGCAGUCCCCCGAGAGUCCUCAGCAUGACCUGUUAGUAACACGGGGCAAGGGUUGCGCUCGUUGCGGGACUUAACCCAACAUCUCACGACACGAGCUGACGACAGCCAUGCACCACCUGUGAUCCUGCCCGUGAGGGAAGCCCUGUUUCCAGGGCGGUCAGGAACAUGUCAAACCCAGGUAAGGUUCUUCGCGUUGCGUCGAAUUAAACCACAUGCUCCGCUGCUUGUGCGGGUCCCCGUCAAUUCCUUUGAGUUUUAGCCUUGCGGCCGUACUCCCCAGGCGGGGCACUUAAUGCGUUAGCUACGGUACGGAAAACGUGGAAUGUCCCCCACACCUAGCGCCCAACGUUUACGGCAUGGACUAC